GCCUGGGUGGCUCAGUCAGUAGACGUCUGACUUCAACUCAGGUCAUAAUCUCAUGGUUCGUGAGUUUGAGCCUCACAUCAGGCU
rnacentral:tRNA from 1 species